rnacentral:rRNA from 1 species
UGGGGAAUAUUGCACAAUGGGCGCAAGCCUGAUGCAGCCAUGCCGCGUGUGUGAAGAAGGCCUUCGGGUUGUAAAGCACUUUCAGCGAGGAGGAAGGUGGUGAACUUAAUACGUUCAUCAAUUGACGUUACUCGCAGAAGAAGCACCGGCUAACUCCGUGCCAGCAGCCGCGGUAAUACGGAGGGUGCAAGCGUUAAUCGGAAUUACUGGGCGUAAAGCGCACGCAGGCGGUUUGUUAAGUCAGAUGUGAAAUCCCCGGGGCUCAACCUGGGAACUGCAUUUGAAACUGGCAAGCUAGAGUCUCGUAGAGGGGGGUAGAAUUCCAGGUGUAGCGGUGAAAUGCGUAGAGAUCUGGAGGGAUACCGGUGGCGAAGGCGGCCCCCUGGACGAAGACUGACGCUCAGGUGCGAAAGCGUGGGGCAGCAAACAGGAUUAGAUACCCUGGUAGUCCACGCUGUAAACGAUGUCGAUUUGGAGGUUGUGCCCUUGAGGCGUGGCUUCCGGAGCUAACGCGUUAAAUCGACCGCCUGGGGAGUACGGCCGCAAGGUUAAAAC